rnacentral:tRNA from 1 species
CGGGCUAUGACAGAGUGGUUAUUGUGCUUUCCUUGGGCGAAGGUUUUCCUAUGUUCAAAUCAUAGUGGCCCGA